rnacentral:lncRNA from 1 species
UUACUUGCAGAAACUACAAUCUUGUAUGAGCCAACACUUGAAGCUGAAGCACUUGCUGCUCAAAAGGUGGCUUUGAAGGUCUAAUUAACACAAUCUGCAAUAUAUAUAUAUAUAUAUGUAUCAACUCAAUAAGUAAGCAAUUAGGUUGAGGCAGCUCAUUCACGAGGAUGGUUUUCAUUUUUGCCUUCUUCUUCCUUCUUCCUUUUUUUUUUUUUUUCAUUUGUUCUAAUUUAGGGAAUAUCCCUGUAAAUAAAGGGUCCUAAAAAUGAGUUGCAUUAUGAUCUUUCCUACCUUGUCUGAUGAUUCUCAAAUCGAUUAUGUUUUGUGAAUCAAAAUUAC